rnacentral:lncRNA from 1 species
GUAGACAGCCCUCUUGAAUCUUGAUUAAUUCUCUAAUUUGUUUCAUUAGCAAUUGAUUAAAAAUAAAUCUUAUAUCUAAUCAAAAUUAUUCUCAAAUUUGUUCUAUUCAUGCGGAGCUGGAUUAGUUCUAUGUCAACCUUCCUUAGCAAACUGAUGUGAAUGUGAAUCAGAAUUUCCUGUCACCCCUUGUUUGUGUCCAUUGUUUUCCGAAAAACCUCGGAAAUAAUGUUUUGGUAUUGACUUG